GGGGAAUAUUGCACAAUGGGGCGCAAGCCUGAUGCAGCCAUGCCGCGUGUGUGAAGAAGGCCUCGGGUUGUAAAGCACUUUCAGCGAGGAGGAAGGUGGGUGAGCUUAAUACGCUCAUCAAUUAACGUUACUCGCAGAAGAAGCACCGGCUAACUCCGUGCCAGCAGCCGCGGUAAUACGGAGGGUGCAAGCGUUAAUCGGAAUUACUGGGCGUAAAGCGCACGCAGGCGGUUUGUUAAGUCAGAUGUGAAAUCCCCGGGGCUCAACCUGGGAACUGCAUUUGAAACUGGCAAGCUAGAGUCUCGUAGAGGGGGGUAGAAUUCCAGGUGUAGCGGUGAAAUGCGUAGAGAUCUGGAGGAAUACCGGUGGCGAAGGCGGCCCCCCUGGACGAAGACUGACGCUCAGGUGCG
rnacentral:rRNA from 1 species